rnacentral:rRNA from 1 species
AUAAGUUAAUAAGGGCACACGGGGGAUGCCUAGGCUUCGAGAGGCGAAGAAGGACGUGAUAAGCUGCGAUAAGCUGCGGGUAUUGGCAAAUACGAUUUAAUCCGCAGAUUUCCGAAUGGGGAAACCCGGCACAUUGAAGAUGUGUCACUCGAAAGAGAGCAAACGCGCUGAACUGAAACAUCUAAGUAGGCGCAGGAAGAGAAAACAAAAGUGAUUUCCUUAGUAGUGGCGAGCGAAACGGAAACAGCCCAAACCGUCAUUGUUUCGGCAGUGGCGGGGUUGUAGGACUGCAACAUUGACUAUAUUGGCAUAGUGGAACUGUCUGGAAAGUCAGGCCAUAGGAGGUUAUAGCCCUGUACACGAAAUGUCAGUAUUACAUAGCAGUAUCCUGAGUAGGGCGGGGCACGAGAAACCCUGUCCGAAGCAGCCGGGACCAUCCGGCAAGGCUAAAUACUCCCGGUAGACCGAUAGCGGACGAGUACCGUGAGGGAAAGGUGAAAAGCAACGCGAGCAGCGGGGUGAAAGAGGACCUGAAACCGUGCGCCUACGAGCGGUCGGAGCCCGCCGGAAGACGGGUGACGGCGUGCCUUUUGCAUAAUGAGCCUACGAGUUGCCGUGGCCGGCGAGGUUAACCCCCUGGAGGGGGGGAGCCGGAGCGAAGGCGAGUCCGAAUAGGGCGAGGAGUCGGCUGCGGCAGGCGCGAAACUUUGCGAUCUACCCAUGGACAGGCUGAAGGCGCCGUAACGGGCGCUGGAGGGCCGAACCGGUGAGCGUUGAAAAGCUUUCGGAUGAGCCGUGGGUAGGGGUGAAAGGCCAAUCAAGCUGAGAGAUAGCUCGUACUCCCCGAAAUGCCUUUAGGGGCAGCCUCGGGCGGUGCGGGUGGCGGAGGUAGAGCUACCGGUUGGGUGCGAGGGCUUCACCGCCUAUCAAGCCCAGGCGAACUCCGAAUGCCGCCACCCGGAGCCCGGGAGUGAGCCGCGGGGUGCUAAUGUCCCGCGACGAGAGGGGAAGAACCCGGACCGGCGGCUAAGGUCCCGAAGCGCGCGCUAAGUCGCGAGGAAACGAGGUGCGGCAGCAGAGACAGCUAGGAUGUUGGCUUGGAAGCAGCCACUCAUUCAAAGAGUGCGUAACAGCUCACUAGUCGAGCGGCCGUGCGUGGAUAAUAAGCGGGCGUCAAGCGUACCACCGAAGCUCCGGAUUGACCCGUGAGGGUCACUGGUAGGGGAGCAUUCCGUGCCCGGCGAAUCCGCUGCGCGAGCAGCGGUGGAGGGCACGGAAAAGCAAAUGUAGGCAUGAGUAACGACAAGGCGGGUGGGAAACCCGCCCACCGAUAGGCCAAGGGUUCCUGAUCAACGCUAAUCGGAUCAGGGUAAGGCGGGGCCUAAGGGUAAGCCGAGGGGCGAUCCCGAUGGACAGCCGGUUAAUAUUCCGGCCCUGGCCCGCGCUGCGAUGGGGCGACGAAGGAGUGAAAGGACCGCCCGGCGACGGAAUGCCGGGUUGAAGGGUGUAGGUAUAGGGUGCAGGUUAACAGCCGGAUCCUGCCGAACCCGAUAGUACCGCGAGCCCACGGGCGAGCGGAUAGCGUCCCUAAGCCGACUUCCAAGAAAACCCCCUAAGCACCAGGCGCGGGGCACCCGUACCGCAAACCGACACAGGUGGCCAAGGAGAGUAUCCUGAGGUGCUCGAGUGAAUCACGGCCAAGGAACUCGGCAAACUGGUCCUGUAACUUCGGGAGAAGGGACCCCCCCGGCGACGGGGGGCGCAGAGAAAUGGCCCAGGCGACUGUUUACCAAAAACACAGGGCUAUGCGAAACCGAAAGGUGAUGUAUAUGGCCUGACACCUGCCCGGUGCCGGAAGGUUAAGGGGAGGGGUUAUCCUCGGAGAAGCCCUGAGCUGAAGCCCCGGUAAACGGCGGCCGUAACUAUAACGGUCCUAAGGUAGCGAAAUUCCUUGUCGGGUAAGUUCCGACC